rnacentral:rRNA from 1 species
AGAGUUUGAUCCCGGCUCAGAAUCAACGCUGGCGGCGCGCUUAACACAUGCAAGUCGAACGAGAAAGGGGAGCAAUCCCUGAGUAAAGUGGCGUACGGGUGAGUAACACGUGGAUUAUCUACCUUUUAGUGGGGAAUACCGUUGGGAAACCGACGACAAUACCGCAUAAUCCCGAGAGGGGAAAGCAGCAAUGCGCUGAAAGAGGAGUCCGCGGUCGAUUAGCUAGUUGGUAGGGUAAAAGCCUACCAAGGCUGUGAUCGAUAGCCGGCCUGAGAGGGCACACGGCCACACUGGCACUGAAACACGGGCCAGACUCCUACGGGAGGCAGCAGUGGGGAAUCUUGCACAAUGGGGGAAACCCUGAUGCAGCGACGCCGCGUGAGCGAUGAAGCCCUUCGGGGUGUAAAGCUCUUUCGGCAGGGGCGAUAAUGACGGUACCUGCAGAAGCAGCUGCGGCUAACUACGUGCCAGCAGCCGCGGUAAUACGUAGGCAGCAAGCGUUGUUCGGAGUUACUGGGCGUAAAGGGUGCGUAGGCGGUCCUAUAAGUAUGGUGUGAAAUCUCCCGGCUUAACUGGGAGGGUGCGCUAUAGACUGUGGGACUAGAGUGUGGGAGAGGAAAGUGGAAUUCCUGGUGUAGCGGUGAAAUGCGUAGAUAUCAGGAGGAACACCGGCGGUGUAAACGGCUUUCUGGACCAUAACUGACCUGAGGCACGAAAGCGUGGGUAGCAAACAGGAUUAGAUACCCUGGUAGUCCACGCCCUAAACGAUGCAUAUUUGGUGUGGGUCAUUCAGUUGAUCCGUGCCGGAGCUAACGCGUUAAAUAUGCCGCCUGGGGAGUACAGUCGCAAGGCUGAAACUCAAAGGAAUUGACGGGGGCCCGCACAAGCGGUGGAGCAUGUGGUUUAAUUCGACGCAACGCGAAGAACCUUACCUGGGCUCGAAAUGCUAUGGACCAGCUGGUGAAAGCCGGCCUUCCCGCAAGGGACCGUAGUAUAGGUGCUGCAUGGCUGUCGUCAGCUCGUGUCGUGAGAUGUUGGGUUAAGUCCCGCAACGAGCGCAACCCUUGUCCUGUGUUGCCAUACCGAAAGGUGGAACUCGCAGGAGACCGCCAGGGAUAACCUGGAGGAAGGUGGGGAUGACGUCAAGUCCUCAUGGCCUUUAUGUCCAGGGCUACACACGUGCUACAAUGGACGGUACAAAGGGCUGCCAACCCGCGAGGGGGAGCCAAUCC